CUUGAGCCAGACAGUAUGGCUUCAGCUGCCUCGGCACUGCACCUGCUGUCCCCACGGCCCCGGCCAGGGCCUGAGCUCGGCCCCCAGCUUGGCCUUGAUGGAGGUCCUGGGGAUGGAGAUCGGCAUAGUACCCCCUCCCUCCUGGAGGCAGCCUUGACCCAGGAGGCCUCAACUCCUGAUAGUCAGGUUUGGCCCACAGCACCUGACAUUACUCGUGAGACCUGCAGCACCCUGGCAGAAAGCCCCAGGAAUGGCCUUCAGGAAAAGCACAAGAGCCUAGCCUUCCACCGACCACCAUAUCACCUGCUGCAGCAACGUGACAGCCAGGAUGCCAGUGCUGAGCAAAGGUGGGAGCCACUCUACACCAUUGCCCUCAUGGGGGGAUGGGCAGCAAGUGGGCAGGGGCUUACUCCUCUUUCCCCUUCCCACAGUGACCAUGAUGAUGAGGUGGCCAGCCUUGCCUCUGCUUCAGGAGGCUUUGGCACCAAAGUUCCUGCUCCACGGCUGCCUGCCAAG
rnacentral:sRNA from 1 species